AGCAGUGUCUGAAAGCUCCUGUUCUUCCACAUCCUCUCCAGCACUUGGACAAGAUACAACAGUUGAUAGUUAUAGAUCUUCAAGAUGGAAUGGAAGAACACUUGAAUGGUAAAUAUGAAGGGACUUCUUGUGAAAGACAUAUUUGAUCCUGUGUGCCUUGCCCACAGCCAUGGUGUUACUAUGUGACCUCACCCACUGGCCCUUCAACCCAUGGAGGUGAGUUGGAACCUGGAACGAGCCAUUUCUCUCUGGAGAGGCUAAACUAAGAGUCAACAGUCAUCCCCAGGCUCUGUUAGGACCCAGCUGCCACUGCUCUGGAUACCGGAUACCAUUUCGACGUUGAGCCCUGAACUCAUUGGCAUACCACCAUGAGACCUUCAAACAGGGACUGAUCACCUGCUGCAGACCAUAGCCAUCACAUGGUAGCAAAACGGUGUUAAGCAGUGCACGAGAGUCUGCGUCGACGACAGCCAGAGUCCAUGCAUCGAGAGGUUCUCGGUUGGGAAGGAACGAAGACUGGACAUGCACGGGCCGGGAGGUGCAGUUCCUGCUCUCGCCACUAGAGGUCAGGAGAUUACCGCUUCAGGGUUGGAAGACGGGCCCGUCGGGGAUUGGCUAGUGCUGGCGGUGGGUGGGACACCAGGAAGGGAGGUGGUGGAGGUGGAUGCCUCGCAACGGGAGACCCCCAUUACUGACACCUGACUUUGGAAUGACUUUUUUUUUUUUUGGUGUCAAAUUUCCCAUCUUUGUGGAUCUGAUGGAUCAGAGGAAAGAUGCCAGUUUGGGGUCAAAGGCAGAGCUUUAUAGCUUCUUAAAGAGCUUUUUCUGUAACAGAGACAAUCUGCAAGUGGUCUGGAACAGUGCCAGGGUUUUGGUGAAGGUCCUAUCACUCCCUGGAGGCCCUCCUGCCCAAGCGCCCCAUCCUCCACAGAAGCCCUGCCUCCCUCUGGUCAGCUGGGACCAUCUUUCAGGGCCAAGGCUGUAUUUGCACAGUCUGGGCAGUAGAGGGCCCUGGACUGGGUGCUAGGAGUCCUGGGUCCUUGUCCCAGCUGGGCCUCAGUUUCCCCAGGUAUCUGAUAAGGAAGUUGUAGUAGGUAGAUCACAGCCCCUUCUAGCUUUGCCAUCCAGAAUUUCCAUGUCUUCACAGAGAGGCUGUGAGUCUCCUCAGAGGCCCUCCAAAAGGCAAAGUUAGGAAGAUACCCAGAGCUCACCCAGACACAAGGGUUGUGAAGAUUCAUUAAGACGGCACAUGUAAAACUCAACACACACAAAGCCUUCUUAAGGAUGGAAAACCAAGGGUCCAUGACCAGCGAAGGUUACCAGGGGACCCUUUUCUGUUCUGACUACAGCUGACCUGACGCUGGGAAGAAUGAGAGGCAGGAUCCAUCCUCCAGAUUCCUCAGGAGGAGAAAAUGAUCAAAGGUGAGCAAAUGGGCUGAGGACUGAACUUGACCCUGCACCAACAUCAGUUUCACAACAGGGCUGUCACUUCCUCCACAGCUGUGAGCCCAGGCUGGCCUGGCAGCCAGGGAUGGGGAGGGAGCAGGGCUGGGUGCCAUCACUCCUGGGCCCCACUCCCUUCCUAACAAACCCUGCCCCCCAGAGAAACCCCAGGUCCCUCACAGUGCCCCUGACCCAACACCCCUCCCUUCCAAGCCUCUGCAGACCAUUCCCACUGCCUGCACUGCCCUUCCCCUGCCGAGACCCCACUGCCCUUCAGGCCUUGCUGCAGCAGGGCCCCUCUGGGAAGCCCUCCUGCCCUCUGCGUCCCCGCAGUCAGCAGAGUGCAUAGCACUGGCAGGUGGGCCACGCUGGCCUUGGCAUUCCUGACCCCGUUGUCAUGGUUUGUUUCCAGCUCCCUGACUAGCCGGGGAACUCCCUGAGGGCAGGCCCUGGGUUUCAUUUAUCCCCAGGGGCUUGUGAAAUAAUCGAGGGAAGAAUUUGCCAAGAGCCCACGUUCACUGGGAGCUUCUGGGAACUUCACUAGACUCCUGGCUCUCAGGUCAACUUUCUUCCACCCUCCCAGUAAUGCCAGAGAUGGACGGACGAAGGCAGAGUCCUGUCCCCA